ACGCUCGACACCUACGGGAGGCAGCAGUGGGGAAUAUUGCACAAUGGGGGAAACCCUGAUGCAGCGACGCCGCGUGAGGGAAGAAGGUUUUCGGAUUGUAAACCUCUGUCCUUGGUGAAGAAGGAAGACGGUAGCCAAGGAGGAAGCCACGGCUAACUACGUGCCAACAGCCGCGGUAAUCUGAGCGGGCUGGCAAGGC
rnacentral:rRNA from 1 species